rnacentral:tRNA from 1 species
GCUCACCUGGUGGAAUUGGUAGACACGCACGGUUCAGGGCCGUGUGCCGCAAGGUGUGAGAGUUCGAGUCUCUCGGUGAGCACCA